rnacentral:rRNA from 1 species
AUUGAACGCUGGCGGCAUGCCUUACACAUGCAAGUCGAACGGCAGCACGGGAGCAAUCCUGGUGGCGAGUGGCGAACGGGUGAGUAAUAUAUCGGAACGUGCCCGGUCGUGGGGGAUAACGUAGCGAAAGCUACGCUAAUACCGCAUACGAUCUACGGAUGAAAGCGGGGGAUCGCAAGACCUCGCGCGAUUGGAGCGGCCGAUAUCAGAUUAAGUAGUUGGUGAGGUAAAGGCUCACCAAGCCGACGAUCUGUAGCUGGUCUGAGAGGACGACCAGCCACACUGGGACUGAGACACGGCCCAGACUCCUACGGGAGGCAGCAGUGGGGAAUUUUUGGACAAUGGGCGCAAGCCUGAUCCAGCAAUGCCGCGUGCAGGAUGAAGGCC